UGCCGCGUGCAGGAUGACUGCCCUAUGGGUUGUAAACUGCUUUUAUACAGGAAGAAACCGAUCUACGUGUAGAUUCUUGACGGUACUGUAAGAAUAAGGACCGGCUAACUCCGUGCCAGCAGCCGCGGUAAUACGGAGGGUCCAAGCGUUAUCCGGAAUCAUUGGGUUUAAAGGGUCCGUAGGUGGACUGAUAAGUCAGAGGUGAAAUCCCAUAGCUCAACUAUGGAACUGCCUUUGAUACUGUUAGUCUUGAGUCAUUUGGAAGUAGAUAGAAUGUGUAGUGUAGCGGUGAAAUGCAUAGAUAUUACACAGAAUACCGAUUGCGAAGGCAGUCUACUACGAAUGUACUGACACUGAUGGACGAAAGCGUGGGGAGCGAACGGGAUUAGAUACCCCGGUAGUCCACGCCGUAAACGAUGGACACUAGUUGUUGGGAUUUAUCUCAGUGACUAAGCGAAGGUGAUAAGUGUCCCACCUGGGGAGUACGGCCGCAAGAUUG
rnacentral:rRNA from 1 species